UACGUAGGGCGCAAGCGUUGUCCGGAAUUAUUGGGCGUAAAGAGCUCGUAGGCGGCCUGUUGCGUCCGCUGUGAAAUCCCGGGGCUUAACCCCGGGCCUGCAGUGGGUACGGGCAGACUAGAGUGUGGUAGGGGAGACUGGAAUUCCUGGUGUAGCGGUGAAAUGCGCAGAUAUCAGGAGGAACACCGAUGGCGAAGGCAGGUCUCUGGGCCACUACUGACGCUGAGAAGCGAAAGCAUGGGGAGCGAACAGG
rnacentral:rRNA from 1 species